GCUCAACCGUAGAACUGCAUCCAAAACUAUUUAGCUAGAGUGUGGGAGAGGAAGAUGGAAUUAGUUGUGUAGGGGUAAAAUCCGUAGAGAUAACUAGGAAUACCAAAAGCGAAGGCAAUCUUCUGGAACAUUACUGACGCUGAGGCGCGAAAGCGUGGGGAGCAAACAGGAUUAGAUACCCUGGUAGUCCACGCCCUAAACGAUGAAUGUUAGUCGUCGGGUAGCUAGUCUAUUCGGUGAUGCAGCUAACGCAUUAAACAUUCCGCCUGGGGAGUACGGUCGCAAGAUUAAAACUCAAAGGAAUAGACGGGGACCCGCACAAGUGGUGGAGCAUGUGGUUUAAUUCGAAGAUACGCGAAGAACCUUACCUAGCCUUGACAUAUUUAAGAACUCCGUAGAGAUACAGAGGUGCCUUCGGGAGCUUUCUUACAGGUGCUGCACGGCUGUCGUCAGCUCGUGUCGUGAGAUGUUGGGUUAAGUCCCGCAACGAGCGCAACCCUCGUCGCUAGUUACUAACGGUUCGGCCGAGGACUCUAGUGUGACUGCCUUCGUAAGGAGGAGGAAGGUGAGGACGACGUCAAGUCAUCAUGGCCCUUACGGCUAGGGCAACACACGUGCUACAAUGGCCAGGACAGUGAGACGCGAUACCGUGAGGUGGAGCAAAUCUAUAAACCUGGUCUCAGUUCGGAUUGUAGUCUGCAACUCGACUACAUGAAGCUGGAAUCACUAGUAAUCGUAGAUCAGCUAUGCUACGGUGAAUACGUUCCCGGGUCUUGUACUCACCGCCCGUCACACCAUGGGAGUUGAUUUCACCCGAAGCGGGGAAGCUAAACUGGCUACCCUCCACGGUGGAAUUAGCGACUGGGGUGAAGUCGUAACAAGGUAACC
rnacentral:rRNA from 1 species